CCUACGGGCGGCAGCAGUGAGGAAUAUUGGUCAAUGGGCGCGAGCCUGAACCAGCGAAGUAGCGUGAAGGAUGACUGCCCUACGGGUGGUAAACUUCUUUUAUAAAGGAAUAAAGUGAGGCACGUGUGCCUUUUUGUAUGUACUUUAUGAAUAAGGAUCGGCUAACGCCGUGCCAGCAGCCGCGGUAAUACGGAGGGUCCGAGCGUUAUCCGGAUUUAUUGGGUUUAAAGGGAGCGUAGAUGGGUUGUUAAGUCAGUUGUGAAAGUUUGCGGCUCAACCGUAAAAUUGCAAUGGAUACUGGCAGUCUUGAGUACAGUUGAGGUAGGCGGAAUUCGUGGUGUAGCGGUGAAAUGCUUAGAUAUCACGAAGAACACCGAUUGCGAAGGCAGCUUACUAAACUGUGACUGACAUUGAUGCUCGAAAGUGUGGGUAUCAAACAGGAUUAGAUACCCGGGUAGUC
rnacentral:rRNA from 1 species